UACGUAGGGUGCAAGCGUUAAUCGGAAUUACUGGGCGUAAAGCGUGCGCAGGCGGUGAUGUAAGACAGGUGUGAAAUCCCCGGGCUUAACCUGGGAACUGCAUUUGUGACUGCAUCGCUGGAGUGCGGCAGAGGGGGAUGGAAUUCCGCGUGUAGCAGUGAAAUGCGUAGAUAUGCGGAGGAACACCGAUGGCGAAGGCAAUCCCCUGGGAUGAGACUGACGCUCAUGUACGAAAGCGUGGGGAGCAAACAGG
rnacentral:rRNA from 1 species